rnacentral:lncRNA from 1 species
UAUAUAUAGUACUUUGAUCAGUGACAGUGCAUGAGUACAAUAUUAAUGCUACCCAAACCAAUGAAUUCCACCAAAUCAAUGAUAAAAAAAUAACAAGGAUGUGUAAAAGGUAAAAGUAUGUGAAAGGAGAAUUAUUGUUAAGGUAUACAAUAAAAAAUGAGCCAAUCAUAAUUAUAUAUUGAACUCAUAUCUAUUGGAAUAUAAUUUGAGACUCCUUAUUUACAAGUUGAAGUUUUGUUUUUGAAGAAGAUGGCAAGGUAUUUUAGAAUUGAGUAUUAUGUUUGAGGAAAGCUGUACUUAUACAUGAAAUAAUAAACGUACCCUAAAUUUGGAAAAAUAAAUUUCAUUUAGAUGAUUCAAAUAAGAAAGGGUAGCUCUAUUCACACACUUUUUUUU